GUGUGAGCAGUAAUCCAGGAGCCACAGUGCGCAGGCUGUUUCAUUCUUCCCUGCAGAGCAGCAGGUUGAGGAAGCAGCUUCUGCACUGAGACUGUAAAAAGGUGUGAAAUUAUUUUCCUGGACUCUUAAAAUGUUACUACAGUUUGCUGCCCAGUGCAGGUUCAUUAGGGAGGAGUGUUAAUAGCAGCAGGAGGAUUGUUAUGGAACAGUGUCGCCAUCCUCUGGUGACUUGGCGGGAUUGCAGGGUGGGGACGCAGCACUGCGCAGACAUUUUUGUUUUCUGCAGCAAUCCGGGAGAAAAAAAAAACAAGAGAAAAGUAAGAGAAAUGACGCACAGAUGUACUGUUUGAUGUACUGUUUCUUCUGUUGUAUUUUUUUUGCGCAAAGCUCUGGAGUCAUAACAGGCUGGUCCAGAUGUAUUUUGGUGUACGCACAGGGCCUACUACUGUGUUUGAAACUAGCUGCUGACUUUAUUGCUCCUUUUCCUUUAGGACGGGCUCAGCAAAGGAGCAGAGGGCGGAAGGUUCCCAGGUAGAAACAAAGGAUCACUCCAAAUGACCGUGACAGAAAUGUAGGCCGACAGCGAUGGCGACGACAGAGGGGCCAGGCGGACCACACAGGGGCCAUGCAGGGAAACUGACCAACUCCACGGUCAACGGGAGCACAUCUGGCAAACCAGGGGAAGAAUCACAAAGCUGGAUUAGCCUGCAGAGGGUAUCCUGGGAAACGAGGCGUCAGGAGGAGCGGGCCUGGACAAAAGGAACACAAACUGGACUUCAGAAGGGCAAUAUAUGAACAUCAACAAAGGAAAAUAGCAAAAAGGCCAAAGAAUUACCAGAAGAAUUAAGUUGAAAUUCAAGUGUAGGGAUACAGGUUCUACUUGAUUUAUAAAAGGAACCAAAAACGCACAAAAAUGGGCUACUGCGUCUGGAAAUUCUACUGACUUAUUUGUGCAUUUGCUGCUGAUAGUUUGAGGAAUUGUUGAACAAAAAUACAUUCAGAUCAUUAGACACUAAAAGCCUUAGAUUUGAAGUUGAGUGAAUGCGCAAAAAAAAGGACAUUUCUUGCACCUUUAAGAAGCUAAAGAGCCGAAUCGAGACUGUUUUAUCGCGCAUUUCUGCCUUGAAUACACUGGAUAAUAAAUAUAUUAUAUAUAUAA